rnacentral:tRNA from 1 species
CAGGAAAUAGUUUAAUCUAAAAUACCAGCUUUGGGAGUUGGUGAUAAAGGUUUGAUUCCUUUUUUUCUGA